AGUAAUCUUCGUUCUAACCUCCGCAUCAUUAUUUCCUCGAUAUCGAUCAAAAGAAUUCAGGACUUAUCCACGAAAAAAAUUUCGAUUUGAGUAACGAUACUAAUGGCAAAUUCAUUAAGAAGCGAGACCCGCGAGGCCAUCGUGCUUUAUUUGGCAAAUGAGCCUUGAGUAGUAACGUGUAUAGUAUAUCCCGCCAAAUUCAAUGGACUUUUAAUCAAGCCGAAGGACGCGUAGUACUCCACGUAGUAUAGCCGCCGUGUAAUUUCACGGUCGAGAGAAAACGAGGGUACUACGACGUACUCGAGCGAGCAACGCAUCCGCGGGAAGGAAAGGAAACAGUGAGCGUAUGUGUACACACAUUUACUACAUCGAGAACGGCGAUACACAAACGGCUGAGGAAACGAGCGUAGUAUGCGAACUUAAAUGGGUCUUGCGUGGAUAACGCAGGAUAUUUAAUGCAGGUUGAGACCUAUAACAGGAACAAAUAAUAUACGUAAUAUGACGGAGGAAAUAUUCGAUACAUGGUAUUUAACCUUUGACUGAUUGUGAUUGGAUCGUUUGCGACCUGAGCUGUGAAUAAAAGGAAAUAAUGCAGUUUUGGAAUUUCUUGCAAUAUAUUUAAAAAAGUAUUUUAGAGAUCAAUAUAAAUAAAAAAAUAUAUAUAUAUAAAUAUAAGUGAAAUUCCUUUUUAAUUUUUUUCAAAAUUUUAUCAAUAAUAAAUAUAUUUUCACGAAACAAAGACAUUUUUCUUUUUUAUGAUUACAUAUGAAAAGAUUAUAUUUAAAGAUUAUAUUAAUAUAAUAUAAAUUAAAAUUAUUCUAAUCUAAGCUUAUAUUUUUUAAUCACAUUAAUGAAUAUGUUAAUAUAUAACAAACAAUGAUUUUUGUCAUUUUAAUAAUUAUUAAAAACAAAAAGAAAAAAAAAUAAUAAUACAUAAGCUCUGAUAUUACAAGAAUGAUUUUAAGUUUGAAAAAAAUUUCAUAUAAUUGUAUGUUUUUAACGUUUAUCUUGAUUAUGUUUCAAUAUAACGGAUCCCACGGUAGCGUAUUUAAUACUUGCGAAACAUUCGAUAUCGUUCGUGAUAUGAAAAAUAUCCAAUAUGUAAAUUACACAGUGUAAUAAUAUCAAGCUUAUUAAAUACGGAAAGUGAAGGAUGUCCAUAUUGAAUGUGAUAUGAACAAUAUAUAUAAUAUACAUGUUUACGAUGUUUAACGUAUAUCGAACCAUAAUAAUGUGUACGAUAUUCACCACAUUAAAUACAUAAGACGAAAAAUUUUUUAUAUUCAUAUCACGUGUAUGAAAUAUUUUAAUAUAUGAUUCGAAUAUAUAUAUAUGAUUUAAAAAUAAUUUUAAAUAUAAAAAUGCUUUUAAAAUUUUAA